CCCCACCCAUGGUCCUCUUUUCUUUGUUUCCCGCCGACAAUGGUGGCCCUCCUCAUGAUGAAAGCUUCUAUUUCUUCUCAUCUCCAGCUUUGUAAAAGGAGAGAGAUGGGAGCCAUUUUUUUUCGAAGAUUCAGCAGGAGGGGGGAGACACCCACAAGCCCCAAUCCCUUUGGGAUUUUUCAUCUCCCUCUCAUCAACACCAAGAGAAGCCAAGGCAGCCGCUCACCCAAAUAAAGCCCUUCCCCCCUGGUGAAUUAUUUUUUUUCUCCCGGGCAGCCACCAUCAAAAAACCAAGGCAGCCCCCCCUGGUUUUGAUUUUUGACCGGCUGUGAGACAAGCCUCCAUUUUGAUUUAUUUUUUUUUUUCCUUCUUUCCCCGUUGAUGCCGCUGGCCAGCCCCCCACCACUUUGAAUUUUUUUAUUUUUUUCUUCUUUCUGGUUCUCACCCAAAGACAACCGAACCAGCCCCCCCUAUCCUCUGCUUUGUUUUGUUUUCCUUUCAACACCGGAACCAUUCUCUUCUUCUCCUUCAACCAGCCACAACCGAUUUUCCCCUUCCUCACCGAACCCGAAACCAGCCGUCCAUCUUCCUUCUCCCAGCACCGAACCAGUUCUCCAAGGCAGCCUUCACCCAUUUUUUUUCUUCUCAUCUUUCACAGCCAGCUCAGACUCUCCCCAGCACGCCGGAGCCACCACCGCAGCUCACUUCUUUUCUUCUAGUCUAUCGCCGACCGAACCUGCGUCUCCUCCUCCUCCAGACCAUCAACGGCGUCCUCCUACAGCAGCAGCUCCUCCUCCACAGAUCCUGCCUCUCAGCCGAGACCCCUUCUCUCUCAAGCUCUCCGAUCUCCACCAUCAAGCCACCACAACAGACCCAGCUCCAUCCUCUCCUCCAGUAGCAGCCCGACACAGCGGCGCCCACUGCCAUCCUCGCCCGAACCAGCACAGGCCGCUGCACAGCCACGACCGAAGCUCAGCCGCCGGCCACCCCUUGGGCAUACGAUCUGCUACCUGAAUUAGAGAAGAAGAAGACGCCAAAAGAACCGAUCUGCAGAGAAGCAGAUCAAAGAGAACAGAUUGAAAACAAAAAAAAAAUUAAAAUCUACUGCUGUUUGUGCGUUGUUUCCCUUGUUGCAGGUGGCGGUGACCUCCACCGCCGGCGUGGGAAGACGGAGGAGAAGAAGACAUCCCGGACCCCUUUUCUUUUUUUGGUUUCUCACGGCGGCGCGUGAACCCACGCGCCGCCAGUGGCGGUGGCACGUGGGGACGCGCCGCCAGUGUUGUUCCGGGGUGCAGAUGGGCUUCAAUGCAAUUCUGGAGUUUUUAGGGACCAUUUUGUAAAUUUUAAAGUUUUAAUGUAAUUUUUGUUUAUUUAUUUUAAAUUUGUAAUAUGUGAAUGUAAAAGAAAAAAGAAGAAAAUAAAAGAAAAUAAAUAAUAAAAAGAGAUGUGUGCUUGUUUGUAUUUUUAUUUAUGUUAUUAAAUUGUAAAAAUAAAAGAAGGAUAAAAAGAAUUAAUUGUUAAUUUAAAUAUGAUUAAAUAUCUUAAGGAUAAAUAAAAUCAAGUUGUAUUUUCCACGAAAAUGUAAGAACAAGUUUUUUACAUAUAUUCGGGGAUUCAAUAACUGAUUUAUUUAAGCCUUAGAAUUUAAUUAAUAUUUUAAAUUUUCUUAAAUAUGGUUAACUAUCUAAGGACAAAUAAAAUCAAGUUGUAUUUUCCAUGAAAAUGUAAGAACAAGUUUUUACAUAUAUUCGGGAAUUUAAUAACUAAUUUAUUCAAGCCUUAGAAUUUAAUUAAUAUUUUAAAUUUUCAAAUCACAUCAGAACACAAUGCAGCUUACCUUAGGUAGGGUGUGUUAGGGGUGCUAAUACCUUCCCUAAUCACAACCAGUCCCUUACCCGCGAUCUCUGACAAGACCAGUACAUCAGGUUUCCUAGUAGCCCUCAAUGAAUUACUAGGUGGCGACUCCAACGAACGAAUUCAAAAGAAAACGCAACAAAACGAUAAAAAUCGCCAGCCUAUGCCGCGCGCCUGGAGGAUUUUUUUUGGGGUGCGACAGGAUGGCGACUCCACUGGGGACUGGUAUUGUUUUCAACUUUAUCGGACUAAGCUUUGUGUUUUGAUGUGUUUCAUUUUUUUUAUUUUUAUUUUUUAUUUUUUGUUUUGUUUUAUUCAUGCAUUGUAUAUAUUUCUCUCAUGCAUCACAAGUUUUAAUUUUUGAAAGCACACACCAACUUUAGGUUAGGGGGGGGACUAGCAGCUUACCUUACGACUUGAGUCAAGGUUUAAGUUUGUGUAAACCCCAACUCUUUGUUGAGUGCUUAGACUGGUAAUAGUUGGACACGUGCCAACCAAUUACCUACUGGGCCCCUAUAUUGCCUUUACGAAGGCGAUCACUGGGACAACAAGAGACCCUUUUAGAGACCAAGUAGCAAACCUACCCUGUCUCACGUAAAAUAAAUAGAACCUGUCCUUAAGUUGUAUGCAUCUGGGCAAACCCUUCUUGAAGCAUCUUGAACUCAAGACUUGUGGGUGACACAAUGGCCGUCACUCAGAAAUUUUUCAUUGUAGAAUUUGGGCAAAAAUCACGAUUCUUGUUCCAUCAUACAAGAGUUACGACCAUAUUGUCACCCCUUGAAGGGUGAGUUUCGUCAUAUAGAUUACAUAUUCAUACAUUUAUCAUGCAUGUACUGGGUUGAAAAGUAGGUUCCCCCGCACAAGUUGUGCUGCACGUGAUUGAAGAAAAAUGAUGGAGGUGAAGAAAGGUGUCAAAUAGAGGCUCAUUAUCAGUUUGAGUUUGAGUUUGAGAACAUCAAAGGUGAAAUAGCUGGACUCAGAUCUGCUCGAACAAGUGUUGAGCAUCAAAUGGAAAGAGAAUGUCUGCACAGUCUUCUGUGGGAACACUGCUUGUCCACCGUCCAAUUGAAGCUGCCUCUCCUUUUCAGUCAUGAACAACAACAGCAAUGCCUUCAGUCAUCAACUAAUGCACAGUCUUCUGUGGGAACACUGCUUGUCCACCGUCCAAUUGAAGCUGCCUCUCCUUUUCAGUCAUGAACAACAACAGCAAUGCCUUCAGUCAUCAACUAAUGACAACCCUGUUUCUUGUCCAGUUGCACUGUUAAAUGUUCAUCGCCUCCACAUCAUCUAAUGGAACCAAACGACUACUAGCCUCUUGUUCAUGGUGCAUUAGUCUGCUUUGAAGUUACCCCAAUUAUGAGCUCAAUUCCAGUUCAGCAGCACAAGAUGUUGGUCUGAAAAACCAUGAUCAGACACUGAAUUUCAACGCGGUAGAGCUCUCUCUGUAGAGAUUUAUUUAUGGAUCUGUCAAUGGCAAAUGCAAAAGGGAAUGUAUUAAUUUCAUAUGCUUUGAAACUUUUUCCCACCAGUGGCACCAGCAAAACAUUGUAGUAGGCAGAAAAGUCAGACCUGGUCUGAUAAUAUUAGCAGUUGUCAAACUUCAAUAUGGCAGAGCUCUCUCUACAAAAAUCCAUUUAUGGCUUUGCAAAUUGGGAAUGCAAGAGGGGAUUUAUAAGUUGCAUAUGCCAUAAAUAUUUCUCUCAUCAGCUUCAGCACGAAGACCUUUUAGUAGGUUGAAGAGUCAGACCUGGUCUGAAAAAUAUGAGCAGACAUCAAACUUCAAUAUGGCAGAGCUCUCUCGGCAGGAAUCUGUUUGUGGAUCCGCAAGUGGGAAAUCCAAGAAGGAAUACAGUAGUUUCAAUCAUCUAUGAUUUUCCUCCAACAAUGUGGCAUUAAAACUCAAAAGUAGAGAGAAGAGACAUGCCUAGACUAAAAAAACAUGAAGGAUACUGAAACUUCAACAGAGCAGGACUUCCUCUAUAGGUGUUUGUUUGCUGCACUGUCAGUGAGAAAUCGAAGAGGGGACAAAGGAGUUUUAUAUUCAUCAGGUGCUUCUCCCAUAAAAGAGAUAAGGCAUGAUUCCACUCGUCGGUAGUGGCGAUACUACAAGUUUCUGGGCGCUGCCAAGAUUACCAAGCUGUUGGAAAGUUUUCUAACAAUCCUCAACCAACCACAACAACAUUGAAAUGAUGUUGUGAGGAUUUGCCGAAGAAUUGAGCAAGCUAUGAAGAGAGGAAAGAUUGAAGGAUCUGUCAUGGAUUCCAGAACAAUGAUGAGAGGUAAAUCAGGAGAUGACUUCAACGGUGUGAACCCUUAAUUAUGUGGUAUAGCCAGGUCUCACGGUAGCGUCAAUUGCUCAAAUGUCUUUGCCAAGAUUGACAUUCCUCUGCCACUUAAGUUUGUCGACCAGCAUCUGCCAGAUUCCAGAAUUUUGCUUGACUCCGACAAAUCCCAUGUAACCACUAUUUUCCAGGUGGUUCAACCUGGACAAGAGAUGUGUUGUCAUGGUGGGGGUCCUUGGCCAUUUUAGUUAAGCAGAUGCAAGAGUUUCAAGAGUCGAGCUCAAUUUGCGAAAGAUGAUGUCGUCAAUCAUUUUCAGAAUGACAAGUGAUCGGAAUUGCUAGGCAAAACAUAGAUAUUGCCAGAGAAGCUGAUCCAAGAAGGAGUUAAACUGUCAAGCAUUUUUGUUAUGGAUUUUUGACAUUUUGCAUUUUGUUUUGGGAUCACAUCACAUCCUUAAACGAAACAUGUCUUUUCUUUGUCUUUUUGUUGUUUUGAAAUCAAGAGAUACUUCUUUCAAAGGGCAUUUUGACAAAAUAUUUUGAUCAAACUCCAACAUGCGAUAAAGGCUAAUCAAUCCUGAAGAUUAAAAGUGUUUUGAUUGCAGAAAUGACUCGAUUCUUGUUGAAAUGACAUGAGGUGACCGAACAAAUUUUGAGCUCACACUUAAAAUUGAACCACACAUCAUAUAGCUAAGUUUUAGCAGUAUGCAUAAUGACAUGUAGUGGAUUUCGGUAGUUAUGGACUCGUGAAUCAUGACUCUUACAAGUCCAAUCAUUACACUAGAUGAGGUCAAAAUUUAUCGGUUCUAACCGACCUUGCUUGAAAUGAGAAAAGGCCAUCUUUGAUAUCCUGUCACUUUCUAAAAAUUAUCUCCCUUGUAGUCCCAUUUUGAGCUGGAUAGAAUAUUUUUUCAUAAAAACCCUGACUAGGAUCACACCCCACACUGGGGGCAAAUGAGAAAUAUUUUGGAGACACGGAUAAAAUCAAUGGAUCAAAGAAAAGCUUAGAACAAAAGUCCAAUGUUUGAGAAAGGGCUAGAAGAAGAAAAUCCAUAGAUUGAGGGCCAUCCAAGAAAAACUUUGAGGAAAUGAAAGAAAAUGCCUACCAAUUCUAAGAGAGGCAAGACAACUUUCAAUUGAGAAAAGACAAUAAAUGCCAAAAGUCAACACUAGAAAAAUCGAUGCUUCAUAUCUUUUGGUGUGUCUAGGAUAAAGCCUCUAAUGUCUUCAAAUUUUAGAUUGGUUAUUCAUCAAAGAAAAAGUUGGAUUUGCAUUAUGACCUAUGUUAAGAGAAUUCUGAUAUUUGAGAUUAACAAGGUUAUAUGUCACUUUCUCUACAAUGACGACAAGAGAAAGAGAAUCGAUGAAUAAUUGAUGUUGAUCCUAAGUCGUUGAAACCCUCAAACACCUUUUGAGCCUUUAAAAUUCUUUUCUUUCAUAGCCAUGAACCAUAGCCUGCAUUACAUGCUUUUAAAAGCCCUUUUUAAUCAAGCAAGCAAUUUGAAUCGAUAAAUGGCGCUCUCAAAACUUGAAGAGUUUUUCCAUAAGGGUCGUGACUUCAUGAAUUAAGCUACUGUUAUUAUGCAUGCUGAUAAAAUAAAUGCUAAGAAAAGAAACAACCUUUCUUGAUAAAGCCUGAGCAUCUUGUUUUUGAAAUUCAUAAAAAUGUCACCUCAUCACAGACCAUCAAAAGAUAUACCCAAAAUCAGAGUUUAAAGUGGACACAAAGAACCAUGAAAAAGUCAUUUUAAAUCUUACAACGGGUCAUUUCUGUUUUCAAGAUACAAGACAAUCAAAGGACUGCAUUGAAUAGUGUGUUGGGUCUUUGACCAAAGAAGUUUGAAUUUCAAAAGAAAAAAAUAAUAAUUUCAAAAACAGAUAUCUCUCUGAUUUCAUUUCAACAAUUAGACUUGAAUAGACAUGAUCGUUGAAAUGUGAGAUUUGAUUCCAGAACAAGAAAGAUUUUCAAACAAGAACAUCAGUUGAGUUUGCAAAAUCCUCGACAAAAAUAACAUCAACAUUUCUCGACACUCCUUGAAACGUUGACCACCUGGGGGCAAUACAGUGGGCCCUUGGAAGAAAAGCAAACAAUAUCCAGAUCAGCUGGGGGCAAAGAAAGAAUCACAUGAUGAGUCAUCAAAGUCCACCAAAGUCACUCCUGGCAUUCACAGAAGCCAUUUGUUUGUAAACAGAAGAAUGAGCAUGUUCAGAUCAACUAGGGGCAAUGUUGUUCAAAGACAAUCCAUGAUUUAGUGAACUUCAGUAGCAAUUGAUGAGCAACGCUGCACUUGAAGGAUAUUUUCAUAUCUUCAUCUUGGGUUACCCUGUAAAACAUAGCUAUGACUCUUGACAUAUGUUAUCGGGUGAGUGCAUUUGAAUGAACGUCGAACAGAUGCAUACCACCAAGACUGGCUGUGGGACCAUCUAUUCUGAAGCCCAAUGGCGCACUUCACCGGAUGAAUACGAGUGACAACAUGAACAUCAUUGAUGAUGCCAAUACAUUUCUUUUCAAGAUCUGAUUAGAUGGUUCCAUGAAGGCUGGUGACCAUACAUACUUGAAUGGUGUUUCAACCGAAUGCAAGUUCAUGACCGAUUAACAAUCUUGAUGGGGUGUUGACAUGAUGCACACAAUCAAUCAAAGGAUAAUUCUCAGAAGAAUCCAAGAGAGAAAAUUCUUCAUGAUGAAUCAAGCAACACCACACUUGGGGGCAUUGCCAAGCUUGAUGAGCGAUGCGAGCAGUAAUUGUCGAAGACAGCCCGGAAUGGGCACUGCAUUUACAGCUGAGUAGAUGGCUAGCACAUGAAUGAGCCAAUGCAUCGGAAGAACAAAGAAAGCUUUGGGAUGCAAACAAGGGCACCCUAUGACGAUGGAGCAUCAAGGAGGGGGGGACCUAUAUUUCAAAUCAGGUAAGGAUGCAUGCAUAUCAUCUAACCAAAAAAAAAAAAAAAAACCAUUUGCAUAUAUUUUUGAAUUAUUACAGGAAAAUCCUUAAUGAGGUCCAGCAAGAUGGUGGAAAAAGAAAGAAGCAUGGUGGUGAUGAUAAUAAAGAAUGAUUUUGAUCAUGGAAUAAAAGGACGAUGGGAUGAACCCUACCAUUAGGAAAAUCCCAAAGAAAUGAAUAGAUCAACCUUGCAACCGGGAAGCCUCGAGUUUUCAACCCUUGCAGUCAGGAAACACCGAGUUUUCAAACCCUAUGAUCGGAAAUUAUCAGGAAGCACCAAGUUUUCCAGCCCUUCUUUUGUCAUCCCCUCAGGACUUCGCCAGGUAAGUCCUAUUUUUCACACUUGUCAUAUCACAUUUUUUCCAUCUGGGUAGGUCGCCCAUCAUAAUAAGACCGUUCAUCAUAUUUUUUUCCAUCUGGGUAGGUCACCCAUUACAAUGAGACCGCACUUCACAUUUUUUCUAUCUGGGUAGGUCGCCCAUUACAAUGAGACCACACUUCAUAUUUUUUCCAUCCGGGUAGGUCACCCAUGACAAUGAGACCGCACUUCAUCAUUUUUUUUUUUUCCAUCUGGGUAGGUCACCCAUUACAAUGAGACCACACUUCAUAUUUUUUUCCAUCUGGGUAGGUCACCCAUUACAAUGAGACCACACUUCACAUUUUUUCCAUCUUGGGUAGGUCACCCAUCACAAUGAGACCAUCAUCUUUUCUGGGUGGGUCACCCAAAGAAUGAGACCAUUCUCCAUCUUUUUUUUACCUGGGUAGGUCACCCAUAAGAAUGAGGCCAUUCCUCCCCCUGGGUAGGUCACCCAAAGAAUGAGACCACUCUUCCUUUUUCCACUUGGGUAGGUCACCCAUCACAAUGAGACCACCAUUUUUUCUGGGUAGGUCACCCAAAGAAUGAGACCAUUCUCCAUUUUUUUUACCUGGGUAGGUCACCCAUAAGAAUGAGGCCAUUCCUUCCCCUGGGUAGGUCACCCAAAGAAUGAGACCACUCUUUCCCCUUUCCACUUGGGUAGGUCACCCAUCACAAUGAGACCACCAUUUUUUCUGGGUAGGUCACCCAUUAGAAUGAGACCAUUCUCCAUCUUUUUUUUACCUGGGUAGGUCACCCAUAAGAAUGAGGCCAUUCUUCCCCCUGGGUAGGUCACCCAAAGAAUGAGACCACUCUUUCCUUUCCUUUCCCAUUUUUCUGGGGUUCGUCACCCUACAAUGAGACCAUCAUUUUUCUGGGGUUCGUCACCCAUACAAUGAGACCAUUUUUCACACAUUCUUUUGUUUUGGUUAAAUGAGGUCGCCAGAUGGGAUCUCGGGUAGCUUUGGUUAAAGGGAAUCGCCAGAUGGGAUUUCAGGUUAACCGAGUUACACAAUAUUUUUGUUCCAGUUGAAUGAGGUCGCCAGAUGGGAUCUCAUGUAGCUUUGGUUAAAGGGAAUCUCCAUUGGGGUUUCGGGUUGACCGAGCUACACGCAUUCUUUGGUUUUGGUAAAGGAGGUCGCCAGAUGGGAUCUCAGGUUAACAAAAAAAAAAUAUUGAGCAAACAGAAAGACAAGUUUUUCUUUACAAAGCUUACUAUGCAAAACAUCGAGGAUUUUUGCUUCGUAAGCAUUGUAAAGAGGGGGCAUCUGUUGCUACCCAAUUUUUGACCCAUGUUUUUGAUAUAUUUUCAAAAAAAUCCAAAAAUAGAGAAAAACAAAGAAAAUCCAAAAAAAUAUGUUUUUAAUAUAUUUUCGUCAUUUUAGCAUUUUCAACGUCGUUUAAAAUUAUUUUUUUCUUUCGAACGUGUUCGACUUUUCACGCGUCAUUUUUAAAAUAAUUGAUUUUCCGUAUUUGAGUCGACGUUGAUAUUGCUCGUUUUCAAAAAAUACAAAAAAACAAGAAAAAUUAAAUUUUACAAAAAAAAAAAAUUAAGGACCAAUUUUGAGGCCGAAACAAUAUUUUUGCCUAAGGGAAUUUUGAAUUUUGGAAGGAGGGGCAACCUAAGAAUUUUUUUCUCUUCACCCGAAAUAGCCGUUGCCCCUGGCCCAAUACCAUUAUUUAAUCCCUCUCUUUCGGCUAAAAAUUAAGCAGCUCAACCCCACCCAUGGUCCUCUUUUCUUUGUUUCCCGCCGACAAUGGUGGCCCUCCUCAUGAUGAAAGCUUCUAUUUCUUCUCAUCUCCAGCUUUGUAAAAGGAGAGAGAUGGGAGCCAUUUUUUUCGAAGAUUCAGCAGGAGGGGGGAGACACCCACAAGCCCCAAUCCCUUUGGGAUUUUUCAUCUCCCUCUCAUCAACACCAAGAGAAGCCAAGGCAGCCGCUCACCCAAAUAAAGCCCUUCCCCCCUGGUGAAUUAUUUUUUUUCUCCCGGGAAGCCACCAUAAAAAAACCAAGGCAGCCCCCCCUGGUUUUGAUUUUUGACCGGCUGUGAGACAAGCCUCCAUUUUGAUUUAUUUUUUUUUUCUUCUUUCCCCGUUGAUGCCGCUGGCCAGCCCCCCACCACUUUGAAUUUUUUUAUUUUUUUCUUCUUUCUGGUUCUCACCCAAAGACAACCGAACCAGCCCCCCCUAUCCUCUGCUUUGUUUUGUUUUCCUUUCAACACCGGAACCAUUCUCUUCUUCUCCUUCAACCAGCCACAACCGAUUUUCCCCUUCCUCACCGAACCCGAAACCAGCCGUCCAUCUUCCUUCUCCCAGCACCGAACCAGUUCUCCAAGGCAGCCUUCACCCAUUUUUUUUUCUUCUCAUCUUUCACAGCCAGCUCAGACUCUCCCCAGCACGCCGGAGCCACCACCGC
rnacentral:lncRNA from 1 species